AGAUACUGAAAUUUCCUCAUAAGGGAUUUAGAUUAAUUGCUUAAUGUGCUACAAUGAUGACAUUUAUUUGCUACUCUUGACUGCAGGAAUGACGAUAGACUAAACCACCAUUAUUUUAACUGAGGCACACAAAAUAGUUAUUUGGGGACUGUAGAGAUUGCACCUUGGUAACAUGAAAUUGUUUUUUCCCAGGUAAAAAAGAGCCUCUCCAGCAAUGGACGCAAGGUUAGAAACAUUUAUAUACUCAUGCAUUAUUUAAAAUUGAAAGUAGACAAAACAAUCUUAUUAGCAUUUCCCCCUUUGUAGAUGUGAUCUGCUCUAAUUCCUAAAUCAAACUUCUGGGGGCAGGCGGAAGAGGCAGAUACUGUGAUGGUUGCAUAGUUCAGCAGAUUUAAGGCAUGAAGAAAUUUACCUUUUCUGAUGUAUCUGGGAUUGUUGUUCAUGGCUGUUAAUCAGCAUAAGCAAUAUGGCAAUUAGCAACUUUAAGAUCUAAAAUUUUUUUAUAUAUUUUUUUUUUAGGCACUAGAUAGAAAACCAGAAGUAGAAAUGGUGAGUAAAGCAUUCCACUAAACAUAGGUAGCUGGGCAAAAAAGAUGGCGUUUUUGGAUUGCAUUUUUUUGUAGUAAGCACUCAAGCAUGAGGGCUAAAUUCAUUAAAUGCCAGUAUCUUGCCUGUUACCAUUUCUGUGAGGUCAGUGUGGCCUGGAUGAUGAUAAGAAGAUAACUGACUGAACGUGAAGUUUUUAAUUAGCUCUAACUGAUUUCGGGCAUUGUUGGUUUGGGCUGGGAGAAAUUUCAUAUUUGGCUAUUCUAAAGUCACCCUUAUUCAUUAGGUGGAGGAUGAUUUCUUUGGAUCUGCUUUAUUUUUCUAGUAAGUAUUGGAAAGCAUUACCUGAGAAUGCCAAUAAACUGCAUGCCUGUUGCAUAAUUUAAAAGUGAAUGAAAACUUGGCAUAUUUGAGCAUGCUCCAAAUGGGGUUUGUGUAAUGAUGUUGUUCAAAUGUCUGACCUGAAAUGAGCAUGUAGACAAGUUUUAUGCUGAAGAACCCAAGACAUACAGUUUGAAGAGAAUUGAUGACAUUUAGCAUACUAACAAAGUUCCUCAUACUUUCAUUUGUAGUUCCUGGAAACACAUUUUGAUCUGGAUAGCAUGAUUGGGUAAGACCACAAAAACAAUUUUUUAGUUCCUGAUGUCUUAGGUUUAUAGUUUUGAAACAUAAUUUUACUAAUGAAUUGUUAAGUCUAAGGAUUAUUUCUUGUUAAACCAGUAGACCAGAAAUAACUUUACUAUAUAUAAAGUAGAUUUAACAAUUGAAUAAGGGUUGCAAGUAUUUGUAAAUAAGGUAAAUAACUGUUUUCAAAGUUAGUAUGAAACUGUUGGGAAGAAGUUUCUAAAGCAAUAACUUUACAGAUUGGAGACCUGUUUUUUUUAAUAUUUUAAAGUUGUUGAUGGACCUUUAUUAUGUGGUGCUGAGAAUCGAACACAGUGCCUCAUGCAUGCCAGGCAAGCGUGCAACCACUGAGUCACAACCCCAGCCCUGAAACUAUUUAAAGGUAUGUAUCAUUUAUCUUACAUACUUAUUGUGUAAGGUGCUGUUAAUGAUGACUUAAAGUUGAAACAGAUGGGAAUCUCUCUGACAGAGAAUGAAGAUUAACGUUAAACUGAAACAGUAGUUGGAAAAUAUUUAGAAAUAUCUUUGUUAAAAACCUAUUGCUAAGUUAGACUAAAUUCCUGCAGGUACACAGACUCAGCUUGGGAAGCAGUGGCAAGAAGUUUUAAGCAAAGGUACAUCAGUCUCAAGAUUUUAAUUAAGGGGUGAACUAAGGCCUUGCAUAUACUAGGUGGGCACCUCAGGCCUCAAGCUGGAUAUAGACUAGAUGUUCUCAAAGCCGAUACAAUGAUGAUAACAUAGUUCAGCAGAUUUUCACUGAUGAGCAAUCAUGUCUUUCGCUCCUAUCUGAUGUAUCUGGCUCAACAAUCCAACUCAUUCUGUUAAAAAUGACCUUUUAUUGUCCCCAUACAAAAUUUUUAUGGACUUGGUACUACAAUGACUGUUUCAGAUCCUACCCUGUAUUUUCCAUUAAUGCCAGGAGUGAAGCUGGACAAGGUGUGUCUAUGAUCCUCCUAUCUACACUAUCCUGAGGGAUGACCAUCUCAUGAGCCCAGGAGAUAGUGGCCAGGAGAAGCAAUAAUGAGAACUCUUGAAUUCAUGAUUGGGGAGGUUAGUACCAAAACUUAGGAUAAUUUUAUUACAUACUCAAAAUUACUUAGCUUAACUAAAACAUAAAUACUUUUUAAAAAAUUACUUCACUUGCCCCAAAUGAGUGCUUAGCUAGCUAUUUUUUUAAAGAUGAAAAUAUGCCACUAAAAUGAAAGAGAGUAGGACCUUUACCAUUUACUUUGGGAUGCUGGGGAUUGAACCCUGGGCUUCAUGAAAGCUAAUCUAUGUUCUCCACCAUAAAGUACGAUAAAUUUCAAGUGUAUACUUGUUUUCUUUAACAGGUUUGCUGCAUCCUGAGAUCUAGGUAUGUCAAGAUUUAGUACAUAUAUUACAUAUUUUAGUAUGUAACCAGUGAUGUAAUGAUUCUGCCAAAUGAAUGUAAUGAUAUCACUUUCAAAACCGUUCCAUUUUUGAUUCUGAGGUUACUACACCUAAAAAGCAUCCUGUAACAUUUUUUUGCCAUGAUUAAUAUGGACUUUUCUGUUUUAGGGCUUUUGUGGCAGCUGCAGGGAUAUCACUUAACCUUUAGGUAAGUAUUGAAACUAUCAGCACUAAUUACUAUUCUGAAUACAUGAUGAUCUCACCCCAACUUGAACUCUCUCACUGAUCACUUGAUGACAGUAAAAAGAUCUGAUAUUCUGUGUUCCCCAAGUACCAUUUAAGUUGUAAUCUGGAAAUGUGGCUAAAAAGUGUUUUUUGUUGCAGGUAGCUGGAUGGAUGCUCUUUUGGGAUAGAAGAUUGAAUAUGUCAUCACUUUAAGUUUCUGAAGAGAUCUGAGUCUAGUUUUGGGCUGCGGGUUGAACCUAUGAAGUAUAUUUCAAGCAUGAUGGGGAAGGGAAUAAAGGUGCCUAAUAAAAGUCA
rnacentral:lncRNA from 1 species